rnacentral:rRNA from 1 species
GCUACCGAUGGUGAGAGUGGCGCACGGGUGCGUAACGCGUGAGCAACCUGCCCAUAUCAGGGGGAUAGCCCGGAGAAAUCCGGAUUAACACCGCAUGCAACCGGAGGAUGGCAUCAUCUUCCGGUUAAAUAUUCAUAGGAUAUGGAUGGGCUCGCGUGACAUUAGCUAGUUGGUGGGGUAACGGCCCACCAAGGCGACGAUGUCUAGGGGCUCUGAGAGGAGAAUCCCCCACACUGGUACUGAGACACGGACCAGACUCCUACGGGAGGCAGCAGUAAGGAAUAUUGGUCAAUGGGGGCAACCCUGAACCAGCCAUGCCGCGUGCAGGACGACUGCCCUAUGGGUUGUAAACUGCUUUUGUUAGGGAAUAAACCCCACUACGUGUAGUGGGCUGAAUGUACCUAAAGAAUAAGGAUCGGCUAACUCCGUGCCAGCAGCCGCGGUAAUACGGAGGAUCCGAGCGUUAUCCGGAUUUAUUGGGUUUAAAGGGUGCGUAGGCGGCACUUUAAGUCAGGGGUGAAAGACGGCAGCUCAACUGUCGCAGUGCCCUUGAUACUGAAGUGCUUGAAUGCGGUUGAAGACGGCGGAAUGAGACAAGUAGCGGUGAAAUGCAUAGAUAUGUCUCAGAACACCGAUUGCGAAGGCAGCUGUCUAAGCCGUUAUUGACGCUGAUGCA